UACGUAGGGUGCAAGCGUUGUCCGGAAUUAUUGGGCGUAAAGAGCGUGUAGGCGGCCCGAUUAGUCUGCUGUGAAAGUCCAGGGCUCAACCCUGGAAUGCCGGUGGAUACUGUCGGGCUAGAGUCCGGAAGGGGCGAGUGGAAUUCCUGGUGUAGCGGUGAAAUGCGCAGAUAUCAGGAGGAACACCAAUGGCGAAGGCAGCUCGCUGGGACGUGACUGACGCUGAGACGCGAAAGCGUGGGGAGCGAACAGG
rnacentral:rRNA from 1 species